GUGCUUGCUUCGGCAGCACAUGUACCACAUAGGAAUGAUACAGCCAAGAUUAGCAUGGCCCCUGUGCAAGGAUGACAGGCACAUUUGUGAAGUGUUCCAUAUUUUU
ensembl:snRNA U6 U6 spliceosomal RNA